GAUGAACGCUGGCGGCGGGCCUAAUACAUGCAAGUCGAGCGAACAGACGAGGGGCUGGCUCCUGUGACGGUAGCGGCGGACGGGGGAGUAACAGGUGGAGAACCUACCUAGGAGACUGGGAUAACUUCGGGAAACCGGAUCUAAUACCGGGUAAUAUAUUGAACAGCAUGGUUCAAGAGUGAAAGGCGGGUUGGCUGUGACUUGUAGAUGGAUCCGCACCGCAUUAGCUAGUUGGGAAGGGAACGGCUUACCAAGGCAACGAUGCGUAGCCGACCCGAGAGGGUGAUCGAGCACCCUGGCACUGAGAAAGGGUCCCGACUCCUACGGGAGGAAGCAGUCGGGAAUCUUCCGCAAUGGGCGAAUGCCUGAUGGAGGACCGCGGCGUGAGUGCUGAUGGUCUCAGGAUCGUAAAACUCUGUUAUUCGGGAAGAACAAAUGCGUAAGUAACUAUGCACGUCUUGACGGUACCUAAUCAGAAAGCCACGGCUAACUUCGUG
rnacentral:rRNA from 1 species